GACGAACGCUGGCGGCGUGCCUAAUACAUGCAAGUAGAACGCAGUUGCGAACGGGUGAGUAACGCGUAGGUAACUGCCUCAUAGCGGGGGAUAACUAUUGGAAACGAUAGCUAAUACCGCAUACUGUGAGAUGGACCUGCGUUGUCUUAGGUAGUUGGUGAGGUAAAGGCUCACCAAGGCGACGAUCCAUAGCGGACCUGCGAGGGUGAUCGGCCAAAAUGGGACUGAGAACAGGCGCCGACUCCUGAGGGAUGCAGCAGUAGGGAAUCUUCGGAAAUGGACGGAAGGCUGACCGAGGAACGCCGCGGGAGGGAAGAAGGUUUUCGGAUCGUAAAGCUCUUUUGUUAGAGAAGCGGUACCUAACCAGAAAGGGACGGCUAACUACGUGCCAGCAGCCGCGGUAAUAC
rnacentral:rRNA from 1 species